GGUGCUGUAGUCCAGCCGGUAGGACAUCCGCUGCUCGCCAGUUCUGGUUGGAGCUUCUUGCGGGGAUGCAGUCUUCGAUCCUGCCGGCGCCA